GAUUAGAGUUUGAUCCUGGCUCAGAUUGAACGCUGGCGGCAGGCCUAACACAUGCAAGUCGAGCGGUAGCACAGAGAGCUUGCUCUCGGGUGACGAGCGGCGGACGGGUGAGUAAUGUCUGGGAAACUGCCUGAUGGAGGGGGAUAACUACUGGAAACGGUAGCUAAUACCGCAUAACGUCGCAAGACCAAAGUGGGGGACCUUCGGGCCUCAUGCCAUCAGAUGUGCCCAGAUGGGAUUAGCUGGUAGGUGGGGUAACGGCUCACCUAGGCGACGAUCCCUAGCUGGUCUGAGAGGAUGACCAGCCACACUGGAACUGAGACACGGUCCAGACUCCUACGGGAGGCAGCAGUGGGGAAUAUUGCACAAUGGGCGCAAGCCUGAUGCAGCCAUGCCGCGUGUGUGAAGAAGGCCUUCGGGUUGUAAAGCACUUUCAGCGGGGAGGAAGGCGGUGAGGUUAAUAACCUCAUCGAUUGACGUUACCCGCAGAAGAAGCACCGGCUAACUCCGUGCCAGCAGCCGCGGUAAUACGGAGGGUGCAAGCGUUAAUCGGAAUUACUGGGCGUAAAGCGCACGCAGGCGGUCUGUCAAGUCGGAUGUGAAAUCCCCGGGCUCAACCUGGGAACUGCAUUCGAAACUGGCAGGCUAGAGUCUUGUAGAGGGGGGUAGAAUUCCAGGUGUAGCGGUGAAAUGCGUAGAGAUCUGGAGGAAUACCGGUGGCGAAGGCGGCCCCCUGGACAAAGACUGACGCUCAGGUGCGAAAGCGUGGGGAGCAAACAGGAUUAGAUACCCUGGUAGUCCACGCUGUAAACGAUGUCGAUUUGGAGGUUGUGCCCUUGAGGCGUGGCUUCCGGAGCUAACGCGUUAAAUCGACCGCCUGGGGAGUACGGCCGCAAGGUUAAAACUCAAAUGAAUUGACGGGGGCCCGCACAAGCGGUGGAGCAUGUGGUUUAAUUCGAUGCAACGCGAAGAACCUUACCUGGUCUUGACAUCCACAGAACUUAGCAGAGAUGCUUUGGUGCCUUCGGGAACUGUGAGACAGGUGCUGCAUGGCUGUCGUCAGCUCGUGUUGUGAAAUGUUGGGUUAAGUCCCGCAACGAGCGCAACCCUUAUCCUUUGUUGCCAGCGGUCCGGCCGGGAACUCAAAGGAGACUGCCAGUGAUAAACUGGAGGAAGGUGGGGAUGACGUCAAGUCAUCAUGGCCCUUACGACCAGGGCUACACACGUGCUACAAUGGCAUAUACAAAGAGAAGCGACCUCGCGAGAGCAAGCGGACCUCAUAAAGUAUGUCGUAGUCCGGAUUGGAGUCUGCAACUCGACUCCAUGAAGUCGGAAUCGCUAGUAAUCGUAGAUCAGAAUGCUACGGUGAAUACGUUCCCGGGCCUUGUACACACCGCCCGUCACACCAUGGGAGUGGGUUGCAAAAGAAGUAGGUAGCUUAACCUUCGGGAGGGCGCUUACCACUUUGUGAUUCAUGACUGGGGUGAAGUCGUAACAAGGUAACCGAAU
rnacentral:rRNA from 1 species